AUUGAACGCUGGCGGCAGGCUUAACACAUGCAAGUCGAGCGGAGAUGAGGUGCUUGCACCUUAUCUUAGCGGCGGACGGGUGAGUAAUGCUUAGGAAUCUGCCAUUUAGUGGGGGACAACAUUCCGAAAGGAAUGCUAAUACCGCAUACGUCCUACGGGAGAAAGCAGGGGAUCUUCGGACCUUGCGCUAAAUGAUGAGCCUAAGUCGGAUUAGCUAGUUGGUGGGGUAAAGGCCUACCAAGGCGACGAUCUGUAGCGGGUCUGAGAGGAUGAUCCGCCACACUGGGACUGAGACACGGCCCAGACUCCUACGGGAGGCAGCAGUGGGGAAUAUUGGACAAUGGGGGGAACCCUGAUCCAGCCAUGCCGCGUGUGUGAAGAAGGCCUUUUGGUUGUAAAGCACUUUAAGCGAGGAGGAGGCUUACCUGGUUAAUACCUGGGCUAAGUGGACGUUACUCGCAGAAUAAGCACCGGCUAACUCUGUGCCAGCAGCCGCGGUAACAC
rnacentral:rRNA from 1 species